rnacentral:rRNA from 1 species
GACGAACUGUGCGAACGUUAUUCGGAAUCACUGGGCUUACAGGGUGCGUAGGCGGCUUGUUAAGUAGGGUGUGAAAUCCCCCGGCCCAACCGGGGAAUGGCGCUCUAAACUAGCAGGCUUGAGUGAGCUAGGGGUGCACGGAACUUCCGGUGGAGCGGUGAAAUGUGUUGAUAUUGGAAGGAACACCGGAGGCGAAAGCGGUGCACUGGGGCUUAACUGACGCUGAGGCACGAAAGCCAGGGGAGCGAACGGG